rnacentral:rRNA from 1 species
GACGAACGCUGGCGGCGUGCUUAACACAUGCAAGUCGAACGGUAAGGCCCUUCGGGGUACACGAGUGGCGAACGGGUGAGUAACACGUGGGUGAUCUGCCCUGCACUUCGGGAUAAGCCUGGGAAACUGGGUCUAAUACCGGAUAGGACCACUGCCUGCAUGGGUGGUGGUGGAAAGCUUUUGCGGUGUGGGAUGGGCCCGCGGCCUAUCAGCUUGUUGGUGGGGUGAUGGCCUACCAAGGCGACGACGGGUAGCCGGCCUGAGAGGGUGACCGGCCACACUGGGACUGAGAUACGGCCCGGACUCCUACGGGAGGCAGCAGUGGGGAAUAUUGCACAAUGGGCGCAAGCCUGAUGCAGCGACGCCGCGUGAGGGAUGACGGCCUUCGGGUUGUAAACCUCUUUCAGCACCGACGAAGCGCAAGUGACGGUAGGUGCGGAAGAAGGACCGGUCAACUACGUGCCAGCAGCCGCCGUAA